UUAGAUAUUACACAGAACACCGAUUGCGAAGGCAGCUUUUAAGCUAUGAUGACGCUGAGGUACGAAAGCGUGAGGAGCGAACAGGAUUAGAUACACUGGUAGUCCACGCUGUAAACGAUGAUCACUCGUUGUUGGCGAUACAUUGUCAGCGACUGAGCGAAAGCAUUAAGUGAUCCGCCUGGGGAGUACGAUCGCAAGAUUGAAACUCAAAGGAAUUGACGGGGGCCCGCACAAGCGGAGGAGCAUGUGGUUCAAUUCGACGCAACGCGAAGAACCUUACCUGGGCUUGACAUCCCGGGAACUCUGUGGAAACACGGAGGUGCCCCUUCGGGGGAACCUGGUGACAGGUGCUGCAUGGCUGUCGUCAGCUCGUGUCGUGAGAUGUUGGGUUAAGUCCCGCAACGAGCGCAACCCUUGCCUUUAGUUGCCAUCAUUAAGUUGGGCACUCUAGAGGGACUGCCGGUGUUAAACCGGAGGAAGGUGGGGAUGACGUCAAGUCCUCAUGGCCUUUAUAUCCAGGGCUACACACGUGCUACAAUGGGCUGUACAAAGGGUUGCUAUCCCGCGAGGGGGCGCUAAUCCCAAAAAGCAGUUCUCAGUUCGGAUUGAAGUCUGCAACUCGACUUCAUGAAGGUGGAAUCGCUAGUAAUCGUGGAUCAGCAUGCCACGGUGAAAAAAUUCCCGGGCCUUGUACACACCGCCCGUCA
rnacentral:rRNA from 1 species